rnacentral:lncRNA from 1 species
UUAUGUUCCAGGCACUGUGUUAGGUGAUGGGAACAGAAUAGUGAAUGAGAGAGGGGAGGAAGAGAGGCCCCUACCCCAGGUGAUGAGGUUGUAAUCUGAUUCAUAAAUUUAGAAGGAAGAAUCAAGCAUAUACAACUCAACGCCUUCUUCUAUUUGGGAUCAGGCUACCGGCAGAGAGCAUGUUUUGUGAUCUAUCUUUUGCCAUGAGGUAAUAGGGGUUUUUAUCUAGAAAGAGACACCUGAAGUUGCCUACCUAAUGACUGGGUGGUACUUCUGGGGAACCAGGCCUAAGGUAAUUCAGCAUACUGUAAUAUUCACCUCUUAAGUUAAAAUGCAUUUAUAUUCUAUAACCAUAAUUUCCAUGUUUAUUUAAACUUGGUUGUAUAUUUAAAUAGUUCGGUUUGCCAUUGGUCUUUUUUACAAUGGCUUUCACUUCAAUUCCUGUUUGAUUAGAUUUUAUUAUAUGGAAGGUUUCAUAAGAUAGUCCUAUGUGUACUGUAUUUCCCAAAUUAUUUCAUAUUUGCCUGCUGUCUUUAUAGCUUAAUGAUAAUAUGUCUGAAUGUAAGACAUUUUAGGCUCAGUUUCUUUCCCUCAGCAUUUUGCAGACAAUGUUCUGUGCCUUUUGAUAAUAAAUGUGACUGUGAAGAAAUCACAAAGUAGCUCAAUUUUCAUUCAGGUGUAACUUUUUAUAUUCUUCCCAGAUACCUGAAGACAUUUUAUUCUUAAAAUCCAAUAAAGACCAGGAAAUAUUUCAUUAGGUUUCUAAAUUUUACCGGAAUACACUGUCCUUUGAAUCUGUAAUGUAAAUUCCUCCUUUAUUUAAGAAAGUUGUCUUCUAUUAUAACCUAAAAUGUAUGUCAUAUUCCAUUUGCUUAUUCUUACUCAGGGACACAGGUUAACUUUAUAUUCUGUGGGUUUUGUAUCUAUUCUCCCUUUAUCAUGUUAUCUGUAUUUGUUUAACCUAUUUUCUUUUUUUCUGUGUUCAUUGAAAUUGACUCCAGUGUUUCCUCCAGAACUGCAGUUGAAUCAAUAGCUGCUAGCCAAGUGUGGCUAUUUGAAUUUAAAUUCAUUAAAUAAAUUAUAAAGUUUAAAAUUCAAUUCCUUGACUCCACUAACCACACUUUAAGUGUUCAGUAGGCACUUGUGGAUACUGUAUUGAACAGCACAGUUACAGAACAUCACGAUCACUGCAGAAAGUUCUUCGGGACAGUGCUGUUCUCAAGCAAUAAUGAGUCUCUACCAGUGGUGGCAUUUUUUUCCUCUUUCUCAUUUAUUUAUUGCUUUCUUCUGUAAUUGUUAUCAUAUUAGUCCUUAAUACUUUCUUAUAACUUUUUAUUUCUAUGUUAUGAUUUUAUCUUAUCCUCAAAGUCUUCUUAUACAAAUUAGUGUCCUUGUAAACUCUUGGGGUGUGAAGUACACUAGGGAAUUUUCCCUUUGGGAGGAGGUUUGCUUUCCACUAGAACAUAUCCUUUGGUCUAUUAUUUGCACACUACCUUUUUCAUAUUAGCUUUAUUUAUUUUGGGCUGAAAUAUAUAUUUUCCCUCCUUAAACUGGUUUAUGUUUUUCCUGUUUGUUUCUCAUUUUACUGAAACUUAUUUGUCCAAACCUAGUUAUCCUGCUGGUAAUGUGGCUGAAUUCUCCCUUACUUCUUUUCUCUUUUCCUUACUUUAUGAACUACACUGCAAUGGUCAGCAAAUAUGGCCUGUGGGACAAAUUGGCCCAUCUCCUCUUUUUGCAAAUAAUUUCACUGAAGCAGAGCUACACUCACUCUUUUGCUCUUUGCCUCUGGCUGCUUUCAUGUGCAAUAGCAGAGCUCAGUAGUUGUGACAGAGAUCACACGGCUUGGGAAGUCUAAAUAUUUACAGUCUGGCCUUUUACAAAAAAUUGUGCUGACCCCUGAAGUGCAGUGAAGAGUUAUCUGUAGCCCAAGGGCAUGGGGUAGGGUGAGAAUAGACUUGGAAGACAUCCUCCAUUAGCCAAACUGGGCUGUUUCUCAUUUGCAGUUUUGUUAAAGGUCUUCAGUCUGGGUUUACUUAGUGUCUUAGUUUGGGCUGCCAUUACAAAGUACUAUAGAUUGGUUGGCUUAUAAACAACAUAAAUUUAUUUCUCACAGUUCUGGAGACUGGAAGUCUGAGAUGAGGGUGCCAGUAUGGUUGGGUUCUAGUGAGGGUUCUUCCGAGUUGCCAAUGGACAACUUUCUUGCAGUAUUCUCAAAUAGAAGAGAGUGUAAGCAGGCUCUCUGGAGUCGCGUUUAUAAGGGCAUUAAUCCCAUUCAUAAGGGCUCCACCCUCAUGACCUAAUUACCUCAAAAUGCCCACCUUCAAAUACCAUCAGCUUGGGGGUUAGGAUUUUAACCUAUGCAUUUUGGGGGGACACAGACAUGCAGUUCAUAACACAUCACAUCACCAGGUAUAUUCUCUUUCAGUCCAGGAAUAAACUUGAGAUUCAGAUAAUCCUCAAUCCUUAGUUCAACUUGGACCUCUGAAUUCUGCUACUUUUAAGGAGAUGUAGCUCAGUUUAUACUCUUGCCCUAUACUCAGGCAUCAAUCAUUUCUACGGCCAGAGCUGAAAGGCUAAUAAAAGGUAGAUGUGGCUUCCUUACCGAGCACUGUUAAGACUAGAAGAACCUUACCUGGGCCAUCCACCAAGGACUCUGGGCUCAGGCCCUUUCUUACCUUCACUGCCUCAGUUCUUAUUUCUAUUUUAAUGAAGACUUCUGCUUCACCAACUUCCCUUUGGUGAGAUAUUGCAGACUUUUUUCCACAGCUCUCCUUCUUAACACAUCUGAAAAGGCAGUUUUAGGAGCUUUCUAGAGCCCACAAUAUGCUCCUUAAAAGCGGUGGCUAAUGCCUGUAAUCCCAGCACUUUGGGAGGCUGAGGUGGGCGGAUCACCUGAGGUCAGGAGUUCGAGACCAGCCUGGCUAACAUGGUGAAACCCCGUCUCUACUAAAAAUACAAAAACAUUAGCCGGGCGUGGUGGCACAUGCCUGUAAUCGCAGCUACUCGGGAGGCUGAGGUAGGAGAAUCACUUGUGCCCGGGAGGCAGCCGUGUCAGUGAGCUGAGAUCACACCACUGCACUCCAGCCUGGGUGACAGAGUGAGACUCCAUCUCAAAAAAAAAAAAAAAAAAGAGCUUUGGUUUUCAUUGUUCAACAUCUGUGUGGUAUAUUUUUCUGUUUCUAAAAUCCAUUUGUUGUGCAUAUCUUAGAUUUUUGCAGAAAUGAAAUUACAAGAUCUGGCUUUCCUCUGGCAUCUGAAACUGGGGGAUUUGAUAUAUACAUUUUAGAAAAUCAUCAGUGAA